rnacentral:rRNA from 1 species
GACAGAGGAUGCAAACGUUGCUCGGAAUUACUGGGCGUAAAGCGCGCGCAGGCUGUUCUGUAAGUCGGGUGUGAAAUCCCGGGGCUCAACCCCGGAAGUGCACACGAUACUGCAGAACUGGAGUACUGGAGAGGAGAGCGGAAUUCUCGGUGUAGAGGUGAAAUUCGUAGAUAUCGGGAGGAACACCAGUGGCGAAGGCGGCUCUCUGGACAGAUACUGACGCUGAGGCGCGAAAGCGUGGGAAGCAAACAGG